rnacentral:rRNA from 1 species
GAUGAACGCUGGCGGCGUGCCUAAUACAUGCAAGUCGAGCGAACAGACGAGGAGCUUGCUCCUCUGACGUUAGCGGCGGACGGGUGAGUAACACGUGGAUAACCUACCUAUAAGACUGGGAUAACUUCGGGAAACCGGAGCUAAUACCGGAUAAUAUAUUGAACCGCAUGGUUCAAUAGUGAAAGACGGUUUUGCUGUCACUUAUAGAUGGAUCCGCGCCGCAUUAGCCAGUUGGUAAGGUAACGGCUUACCAAGGCAACGAUGCGUAGCUGACCUGAGAGGGUGAUCGGCCACACUGGAACUGAGACACGGUCCAGACUCCUACGGGAGGCAGCAGUAGGGAAUCUUCCGCAAUGGGCGAAAGCCUGACGGAGCAACGCCGCGUGAGUGAUGAAGGUCUUCGGAUCGUAAAACUCUGUUAUUAGGGAAGAACAAAUGUGUAAGUAACUAUGCACGUCUUGACGGUACCUAAUCAGAAAGCCACGGCUAACUACGUG